AUUGAACGCUGGCGGCAGGCCUAAAACAUGCAAGUCGAGCGGAUGAAGGGAGCUUGCUCCUGGAUUCAGCGGCGGACGGGUGAGUAAUGCCUAGGAAUCUGCCUUGUCGUGGGGGAUAACGUCCGGAAACGGGCGCUAAUACCGCAUACGUCCUGAUGGAGAAAGUGGGGGAUCUUCGGACCUCACGCUAUCAGAUGAGCCUAGGUCGGAUUAGCUAGUUGGUUGGGUAAAGGCCUACCAAGGCGACGAUCCGUAACUGGUCUGAGAGGCUGAUCAGUCACACUGGAACUGAGACACGGUCCAGACUCCUACGGGAGGCAGCAGUGGGGAAUAUUGGACAAUGGGCGAAAGCCUGAUCCAGCCAUGCCGCGUGUGUGAAGAAGGUCUUCGGAUUGUAAAGCACUUUAAGUUGGGAGGAAGGGCAGUAAGUUAAUACCUUGCUGUUUUGACGUUACCAACAGAAUAAGCACCGGCUAACUUCGUG
rnacentral:rRNA from 1 species